rnacentral:rRNA from 1 species
AGAGUUUGAUCCUGGCUCAGGAUGAACGCUGGCGGCGUGCCUAACACAUGCAAGUCGAGCGGUAUAUAGUGGAAUGAAACUUCGGUCGAGUGAAGCUAUAGAGAGCGGCGGACGGGUGAGUAACGCGUAGGCAACCUGCCCCAUACAGAGGGAUAGCCUCGGGAAACCGGGAUUAAAACCUCAUAACGCAGCUGGUUCACAUGGACUGGCUGCCAAAGAUUUAUCGGUAUGGGAUGGGCCUGCGUCUGAUUAGCUAGUUGGUGAGGUAACGGCUCACCAAGGCGACGAUCAGUAGCCGACCUGAGAGGGUAAUCGGCCACAUUGGAACUGAGACACGGUCCAAACUCCUACGGGAGGCAGCAGUGGGGAAUAUUGCACAAUGGGCGAAAGCCUGAUGCAGCAACGCCGCGUGAGCGAUGAAGGCCUUUGGGUCGUAAAGCUCUGUCCUUGGGGAAGAAACAAAUGACGGUACCCUUGGAGGAAGCCCCGGCUAACUACGUGCCAGCAGCCGCGGUAAUACGUAGGGGGCGAGCGUUAUCCGGAAUUAUUGGGCGUAAAGAGUGCGUAGGUGGCCAUGUAAGCGCGGGGUGAAAGGCAAUAGCUUAACUAUUGUAAGCCUUGCGAACUGUGUGGCUUGAGUGCAGGAGAGGAAAGUGGAAUUCCUAGUGUAGCGGUGAAAUGCGUAGAUAUUAGGAGGAACACCAGUGGC